rnacentral:rRNA from 1 species
ACAGCAGUCGCCGCGGUAAUGCGAAGGGUGCAAGCGUUAAUCGGAAUUACUGGGCGUAAAGCGUGCGUAGGCGGUUUGUUAAGUCUGUUGUGAAAUCCCCGGGCUCAACUUGGGAAUGGCAAUGGAUACUGGCAAGCUAGAGUGUGUCAGAGGAUGGUGGAAUUCCCGGUGUAGCGGUGAAAUGCGUAGAGAUCGGGAGGAACAUCAGUGGCGAAGGCGGCCAUCUGGGACAACACCGACGCUGAGGCACGAAAGCGUGGGGAGCAAACAGGAUUAGAUACCCCUGUAGUCCCUGUCUCUUAUAA